rnacentral:lncRNA from 1 species
AAUGGAGUGAACCGAGGAGAAGGGGGCCAGCUAGGCCGAGAUGAAAAGCAUGUGGAUGCCAAGGAGUUGGAGCAGCUGUUCCCCACAACUGCGUCAGCCGGGCAGCCAGGCUCCAGGUCCACGGACCCCACAGCCCCUACUCCAUAUGAGGAGACCCAGCUCUCCAUGGUGCAGCUUCAAGACUUCAACCUUGCGGCAGGGAGGACAACAGAGACUAUGUCUUCCUGUGCAGGGCCUGGACCUGUCCCAGCAUCCCAGGAUGUAGGCCUUGGUCUCCUCAGUGACAGACAGACGGCCCAGCCUCUAGCAGUCCCAGCUCCCCAGUGAGCUUACUGGAGACAAUAGCCAGCGCUGGUGUGUUCCCGAGGGGUGGUACCCCAUUCUCAGGUCAAAGGCGAGGUUUUUCCUCUUCUGUGGGAUUUGGAUGUCCUAGGAGCUCGCCAAUGAAGGACUGGGUUCUCAAACCACAGGACCCAGUGGGUCCUACAGCAAGGCAUCUCCCUCCUCGAACUAAUGUCGCCCCCUCACCAACGCCUGCUGCCCACAGGACUCAGGAAACAAACCUUUUCCUUUAAAAAAAAAAUCAAAAUUUAAAAGUCAAAAAAGAAAGAGAAAGGAGAGAGAGAGAGAGAGAGAGAGAGAGAGAGAGAGAGAGAGAGAGAAAGAGAGAGAGAGAGGGAGGAAGUGAAUUAUACUCCAGAGCCAUGUCCCUGCUGUGGCUCGGCCCCUGAUGUGUCACCCUGCUCUGACCUUGUUUUCUCAGGAUGGAUUUUUAGCUGUUGUGACUCAGCACCUACCUCAGCCGGAAUGAAUGUCCUUGGGGGUAGCGGGGCAGUAGCCUCAGCCUCUACCCCACAGAGCCCGAAAGCACUCCUACCUCAAGCCCCGUAAUGGGGACCCCUCCCACCUAUAUUGUUGCCCAGAGUAAAAGAAAAAGGAGAAAAAAAAAGAAAAAAAGAAAGGGAAAAAAAAAAACCUAACCCCCAAAAGAACCACUGUCCCAACUCCAAGUGUGAAAGAAACUGUCUACCUCAAGGCUCACGGCCCUCAGUGUGGGCCUAUGCUGUCACUGGACCCUCCUUGGCCUCCUCCUUCCCUGGCCUGGCCUGGCCUACCUCUCCCCCGCCAGAGGAGGCUGUAGCUAGGUGACCAUGGGGCUUACCGAAAUGGAGAUGAAACUGGUCAGAGAGAAAAUGUGAAACAAGCCAAAAACAAGAGCAAAGCUGUUCCAUGAAGUAUAAAUUGUCCCAAACUUGUCCCAUCCCUGCACACCACCUGCACUCCAUCUCCUGUGUCUGUCCGUCCACCCUUGUUCCGACCUUCUAACAACCCACUGUUCACCUGGAGCCCUGUAGUCCUCCCUGCCUGGGCUUAGGGAAGGCGGGACAUAACCCGGAGAUCCAUCUCUCGGUCUGACCAGACACAGGGCAGUCCCUGGAAUGUACUGCAUGGUGUGGAAGUGGGUGUUCUCUCAUAUAGGCGCCCCAGCUUUCUGGGACCCAGGUAACCUGACCUACCCAGUCAGCAGGGGUGGCCAGGAAUUAUUUUUGUAUGAGGUGUGUUUACGUUUUAUUUCUCUUUUCUGUUGUAUUGUUCUUUGAACUACUUAGGUUAAAAAAGUUAGAAACAGAAAGAAAGGAAAAAAAACACAAAGACCUAUUUUUGGUUAUACUCAGAAACAUUUUUUUAAAUAGCAGAAAGAAAACUUUUUUUAAAAAAAAAAAAAAGGUUGUGUAUUCUUUAAAAAAAUGAGGUUAGAACAUAAAGACCCUGACCCCAAAUCCUCUAGGGACUCCCACCCCAAACUCUAGAGAAUUAGCUAAAACAGUAGAAUGUGUGGCGUUUUGUUAGAAACCUAGACUCUUGUCCAAGUGGACUUGGGAAGGGCAGUCCCUUCUCCCAAAUGGUAGGUGGACUCUAGGGCUCUUCCCACCUGAGCCAGUGUCAUCUGUCCCUGAGUUGCUUCUCUGUGGCGUCCCAUUUUCCUUUGGUCAGAGAGGCUACGGGAGACGGAUCUGGCAGCCUCUUCGGCCCAAUUGGGUUUGUCACAGUCUAUUCAUUUUAACUGAAUAAAAGUACUGUUGCCAAAGUGA